ACCGCCGGCUGGAGCUCAAAUGGACAUCGGGCACCUGCCGGCCAACUCUGAGGGAGGAGGGCGACACGCCACUGUUGCAAAACCAGUGCACGGUCGCAGGGCUUGCUUGUAAUCAUUUCGCCUCAUUUCCCAAAAAGCUGUUAGAUGAGCGACUGGCAUGGACAUCCACAGGAGGUGGGGAGUCUUAGGAGCCCAGUACCGCAACUUUUUCACUGUGCGGUACCUGGGCUUUCUCCACACACGACUCUAUUGCAGGACCCCAAGUGGACAAGGGAGUUCUAACAAGUGGAAAGAGAUUGUGAGUUUGCUUCUCUCUGCACCCUUCGCACCUCUGAUGUUAAAACUCCAGCGCGACCGACAGGCUGCGAUAGUGCCUUCGGGGAGCCGCUGCCUGGCUGCCAUCCCUCGGGGCAAAACGCAGGAGGAGAAAGGCAACAGCAGGAGGAGAAAGGCACCGCACCUGGCUGCGCGCUCCAGCCGGGGCCGGGCAGUCCCGUCCCGCGGCCGCGCACCCCCCGCGCCCAAGCUCUCCCGUAAACUCAUCUUUGGUUUGGGGGGGCCGUCCCCGCCCGCCUGCCUGUCUCCUGCCUGUCCCCUGCCUGUCUCCUGCCUGUGUCCUGCCUGUCUCCUGCCUCCCCUCCGUCCCCCGCGCAGGGCCGCGCACUCACCCGCGGCGCGGAGCGGCCGCUCCGUCGCUCAUGCCUCCCCGGCGGGCGCGGUCCUUCUGCUGUUUCUAAGCUCCUCAGCUCGAAAUGCUCAGCUUCUUCCCUCACCACCACCUCAGGUUCCUACAGGAAUGAAGCUCAGUCAAAGAAUUGUGGAGUUCAAGACUAGAUAACAUGAGAAUAGCAGAAGUCAUAGCAAAGGUGACUGCUUGUGUCUAUGGCUUGCAGUGUACUAUGGGCGUAACACCAUAACUUCCUUGAAAGAAGACAGAUGCUGUAAACCCCUGCCUCCUUCCCCUCCUACCAAGUGUCCCACCAGGAAACCUCCUCCCAAAACUCACAUCUGCACCCGUGACCAGAAGCAGAUGCAGCUGGCAAACUGCAGACCCACAGACCUGGCAGCAUCCUUCCCCAAGCAAGCUAAAGAACAAAAAGAAAGGCUGUGCAAGAGGCAAACCUGCAGUCCUUGCAAGAGACCACUUUACCAGUGGGGACACCAACACAGAGAGCAUUUCAUGUUUCUCCAACAAGUGCAUGAAAUUACAGAACCUGGAUGAAGAUCCCAGAUCUCUUAAGUCAAAGUCCAUCACUCCAGCCACAAGCAGAGCUACAUCUAACAUUGAAGAGGCACGUGGAGCUCUCUUGAAUUAGCUACAUUGCCAAAAGCACAAGUGUUCUCCCAUAAAACAGGAGGGAUGCAUGGCUGUCUGGUGCUUGGAAGAGACACGAGAGCCAAGGGAGCACUCUCCUGCCACGCCAGCCCUCCCACAGGCUCCCUGUAAUGCCUUUACAGCACAUUUUACUUGCUCUGACAACUGACCUGCAUUAGAGAAGUGCUUAGAGAUCUUCAAAUGAAGAAAUGUUCAUAACUAAAAAGCAUUUACUGUAAUGAAGGCCCUUAAAAGAGGCUCUGCAUGCCACAGCUGAUCUCUAGUGUAGAUAUAAUCACUCUGAAUGUUGUGGAGUGUAUUUUCAUUCCUCUUCUGCAUACAUUAUAUAUAAUUUUCUGAGUAAAACAAACAUCUGUGCACAGUUGUGGAGAUGAGAUUUUAUGCUAGUUAUGGUGGAUGACAUUCAGCUUUUGUUUUUGCCCAGGAUUCUUACAAAAUAUAAACAAAGUUACAAUGCAGCCUCCCACUUUGACCUUUUAAAUUUUACUUUUAAAAAUAGAGGUUAUCUUUUAUGCUUCAAAUUAUGCCUUUAUCUCUUAUAAUCCCAUAAGUCAGAUAUCACAGUCCCACUUCAAUUAUGCUAAACUCUUAUGUUAAUUUUAAAUCAUGUAACUUAAUUCCUGGCAAAGCAGGCUGGUGAUUUUCAAAAUGUGGUUAAUGAAGCAAAGUACAAUCUAGAUUCUGCUACUGAGAUCAUCUGAAUCCCUUAGGUCGCUGAACAUGACUGUGGAGAGGCUCUUCUUUACAAAAGUCUCGGUUAGAUUUUCAAAAAAUGAAUUUUUAAGUGCAGUUAGGGGCUAUGAAAUUUGAAGUUGAGCGUACAAAGAAGUUAAAUUACUUUCACUAGAGCCAUAGAACAACAGUGCAGCUAAAACAAUUACACUUCUGUGCACAUACAUGCUUCAAAGACCUUAAGUGGUGUCCUCCCCUGUUAAAUCACAAAUGCAAAUCAUACCAGAUUUUCAAGAUGACAGUCUGGGGACCUGAUGUCCACGUACGUAUGCAAAUCAAUGUCAUUUUCCCUAUCAUUUGCAGAAACCAAAUAUUUGCUGAUAAUUUCUUUCAACACCCUCCUUGACUCAAACAAUAGCUUUAUCUAAGAGCCACUAAAAGACAAAAUCUUAUGAGAAUGUGCAGAUUUCAAUGCAAUUAAAGCUGUCCCCCCAAAUCUCUGUCAUUCUCUGAUCAGAUAGGCAGAAAGUUUGCCACUAAAAUGAACUCAGUGUGAAGCUUAAGUUCUUCAGAGACUUUGUCAUUUACUAAUAUUAAUUUAUUUCUCUGAAUUAAAGUAUU